rfam:Aedes albopictus isolate Foshan contig224432, whole genome shotgun sequence.
UGCCCAGCAAGUCCUAUCCCUACCUCCUCGCGGUACCGGCCGGAAAGUAUGAGCAACCUUAGGGAAGA